rnacentral:sRNA from 1 species
UGUGGAUUGUGAUCCGGCACUUGCGGAUAAAAGUCAGCCGGUGGCUGUUGGUAGUAUACUUGAGGCUGUGCCAUCGAGGGAACAGUACUUCCGGCAGAAAUUGAAGCGUGUGGAUAAGGCGCGAACGAAUAAGAAUGAUGUUGUUCAGCUUGGACCUUCCAGUGUUUGAUAGCUCGGUACCGUGUAACAGAACAAGACAGCGAUGACCGUUUGGGUGAAGAAGAGACUACCGAAGGUAGUAUGAAAGGAAGGAGUAAAGAUUGAAUAUGGGGAAAGAUCGUUGUAGAGACAAUGCAAGACUAGGGCAU